rnacentral:lncRNA from 1 species
GCUCCUGGACCUUAUCCACCACCACAGCCAGCUGGUUACGGAUACCCACCGCCACCUGUAGCGGCUGCAUAUGGUGGAUACCCACAACAGGCACCACCUCCACCAGGGUAUGGGUACCCACCUCCACCAGGGUAUGGGUACCCACCUCCACCUCCAGGAUAUAGUUACCCUCCACCAGGGGGAUAUGGGUACCCACCAGUGCAACAGCCGCCAAAGAAGAACAGCAAUUUGGGAUUGGGAUUGGGAGCUGGGUUGCUUGGAGGGGCGAUUGGAGGGCUGUUGAUUGGAGAUAUGG